AGCUCCAAUAGCGUAUAUUAAAGUUGUUGCAGUUAAAAAGCUCGUAGUUGAAUAUCUGGUGAUAUGCCACUGGCCCGCCUUGUGUGAGCGCCGGUAUGCAUUUGCCAUCCUUCUAGAAAACGUUUCACCUUUCACUAGGUUGACUCGCGAUUCUAGAUCUUUUACUUUGAAAAAAUUAGAGUGUUUAAAGCAGGCGAUUUGCUGUGAAUACAUUAGCAUGGAAUAAUAAUCUAGGACUUCGGUUCUAUUUUGUUGGUUUCUAGUACUGAAGUAAUGAUUGAUAGGGAUAGUUGGGGGUGCUAGUAUUCAGCGGCCAGAGGUGAAAUUCUUGGAUUCGCUGAAGACUAACUUAUGCGAAAGCAUUCACCAAGGAUGUCUUCUUUAAUCAAGAACGAAAGUA
rnacentral:rRNA from 1 species